rnacentral:rRNA from 1 species
GAGUUUGAUUCUGGCUCAGAUUGAACGCUGGCGGCAGGCUUAACACAUGCAAGUCGAACGGUAGCAGGAGAAAGCUUGCUUUCUUGCUGACGAGUGGCGGACGGGUGAGUAAUGCUUGGGAAUCUGGCUUAUGGAGGGGGAUAACUACGGGAAACUGUAGCUAAUACCGCGUAAUAUCUAAGGAUUAAAGAAUGGGACGAUUGCCAUUUGCCAUAAGAUGAGCCCAAGUGGGAUUAGGUAGUUGGUGGGGUAAAGGCCUACCAAGCCGACGAUCUCUAGCUGGUCUGAGAGGAUGACCAGCCACACUGGAACUGAGACACGGUCCAGACUCCUACGGGAGGCAGCAGUGGGGAAUAUUGCGCAAUGGGGGCAACCCUGACGCAGCCAUGCCGCGUGAAUGAAGAAGGCCUUCGGGUUGUAAAGUUCUUUCGGUGGUGAGGAAGGCUUAAGUGCGAAUAGUACUUAGG